rnacentral:rRNA from 1 species
GCUAGUCGCACGAGUUCAGACUCGUGGCGAAUAGCUCAGUAACACGUGGCCAAACUACCCUUCGGAACACAAUACCCUCGGGAAACUGAGGCUAAUAGUGUAUACCAUACCACCACUGGAAUGAGUGGUAUGCCAAACGCUCCGGCGCCGAAGGAUGUGGCUGCGGCCGAUUAGGUAGACGGUGGGGUAACGGCCCACCGUGCCAAUAAUCGGUACGGGUCAUGAGAGUGAGAACCCGGAGACGGAAUCUGAGACAAGAUUCCGGGCCCUACGGGGCGCAGCAGGCGCGAAACCUUUACACUGCACGACAGUGCGAUAGGGGGAUCCCAAGUGCACAGGCAUAGCGCCUGUGCUUUUCGGUACCGUAAGGUGGUACCAGAAUAAGGGCUGGGCAAGACCGGUGCCAGCCGCCGCGGUAAUACCGGCAGCCCAAGUGAUGGCCGAUCUUAUUGGGCCUAAAGCGUCCGUAGCUGGCCGCGCAAGUCCAUCGGGAAAUCCACCUGCUCAACAGGUGGGCGCCCGGUAGAAACUGCGUGGCUUGGGACCGGAAGGCGCGACGGGUACGUCCGGGGUAGGAGUGAAAUCCCGUAAUCCUGGACGGACCGCCGAUGGCGAAAGCACGUCGCGAGAACGGAUCCGACAGUGAGGGACGAAAGCCAGGGUCUCGAACCGGAUUAGAUACCCGGGUAGUCCUGGCCGUAAACAAUGCCU